rnacentral:piRNA from 1 species
UCUAAAAUGAAGAGAAAACGG